rnacentral:rRNA from 1 species
AUUGAACGCUGGCGGCAGGCCUAACACAUGAAAGUCGAACGAGUGGCGAACGGGUGAGUAAUGUCUGGGAAACUGCUCGACGGAGGGGGAUAAAUACGGGAAACAGUCGCUAAUACGGAAAACCAUCGGAUGGGCCCAGAUGGGAUUAGCUAGUAGGUGGGGUAACGGCUCACCUAGGCGACGAUCCCUCGCUGGUCUGAGAGGAUGACCAGCCACCCUGGAACUGUGACACGGUCCAGACUCCUACGGGCGGCAGCAGUGGGGAAUAUUGCCCACUGUGCGCAAUCCUGAUGCAGCCAUGCCGCGUGUAUGAAGAAGGCCUUCGGGUUGUAAAGUCCUUUCAGCGAGGAGGCGUUACUCGCAGAUGAAGCACCGGCUAACUCCGUGCCAGCAGCCGCGGUAAUUC